rnacentral:rRNA from 1 species
CAGUCGCCACGGUAAUACGAAGGGGGCUAGCGUUGCUCGGAAUGACUGGGCGUAAAGGGCGCGUAGGCGGUUUGCACAGUCGGGUGUGAAAUUCCUGGGCUUAACCUGGGGGCUGCAUUCGAGACGUGUAGGCUUGAGUGGGGAAGAGGGUCGUGGAAUUCCCAGUGUAGAGGUGAAAUUCGUAGAUAUUGGGAAGAACACCGGUGGCGAAGGCGGCGACAUGGUCCUUUACUGACGCUGAGGCGCGAAAGCGUGGGGAGCAAACAGGAUUAGAUACCCCCGUAGUCCCUGUCUCUUAUAC